GGGGUUUAUAGGAGCUGAGGUAGAGUUAAUUGAGGUAAUAUUAAGAGAUGAAAGGAGCCUGUGACAUCACUAAGGGGGGUUGUGACAUCACUGGUUACUCAGUCAUAACAAAUAUCUGGUUACUUUUGGGUGGGAGAAAAGAGAAAGAGAUAUCACGAGAAAAAGAAGGCUAUGCUCUGUUAGGUGAGAGAAGCCAUCUCUUUAGGGGCUGGUGUGCAGGUUCUCAUAG
rnacentral:lncRNA from 1 species